rnacentral:rRNA from 1 species
GGGACUUGUAUGAAUGGCCCACGAGGGCUUUACUGUCUCUUACUUCCAAUCCGUGAAAUUGACCUUCCCGUGAAGAGGCGGGAAUAUAACAAUAAGACGAGAAGACCCUAUGGAGCUUUAAUUAAUCGACUCAAAGAGACCCUACUAACUUAACCGACAGGAACAACAAACCUCUAUGUGAGCCGACAAUUUAGGUUGGGGUGACCUCGGAGAACAAAAAAACCUCCGAGUGAUUUAAAUCUAGACUAACCAGUCAAAAGUAUUACAUCACUUAUUGAUCCAAAAACUUGAUCAACGGAACAAGUUACCCUAGGGAUAACAGCGCAAUCCUAUUUCAGAGUUCAUAUCGACAAUAGGGUUUACGAC